rnacentral:rRNA from 1 species
GACGAACGCUGGCGGCGUGCUUAACACAUGCAAGUCGAACGGAAAGGCCCUGCUUAUGUGGGGUGCUCGAGGGGCGAACGGGUGAGUAACACGCGAGUAACCUGCACUUGACUUUGGGAUAACUUCAGGAAACUGGGGCUAAUACCGGAUCUGAUCUCCUGCUGCAAGGUGGGGGUUGGAAAGUUCCGGCGGUUGGGGAUGGACUCGCGGCUCAUCAGCUUGCUGGUGGGGUAGCGGAUUACCAGGGCUGUGACUGGUAGCCGGGCUGAGAGGGUGCGCGGCACCGCUACAACUGGGAUGAGGCACAGACCACAAUGGGACGCAAGGGUGGAGUAGAUUGCACAAUAGGAUGAGGCCAAAUGCGACGAAGCGACGUGGCGGAAGACAGCAAGCGGGUUGGUAUCCAAUUUCGCAUGAGAAGAAGCGAGAGUGACGGUAAUGGAUAAAGAAGCACCGGCUAACUACGUG